rnacentral:rRNA from 1 species
GACAGAGGGUGCAAGCGUUAAUCGGAAUUAUUGGGCGUAAAGAGCGCGUAGGUGGAUUGGUAAGUUGGAUGUGAAAUCCCUGGGCUUAACCUGGGAACUGCAUUCAAAACUGCAAGUCUAGAGUAUAGUAGAGGGAAGUGGAAUUUCCGGUGUAGCGGUGAAAUGCGUAGAUAUCGGAAAGAACAUCAGUGGCGAAGGCGACUUCCUGGACUAAUACUGACACUGAGGUGCGAAAGCGUGGGGAGCAAACAGG